AGUGAACGCUGGCGGUAGGCCUAACACAUGCAAGUCGAACGGCAGCACAGUAAGAGCUUGCUCUUACGGGUGGCGAGUGGCGGACGGGUGAGGAAUACAUCGGAAUCUACUUUUUCGUGGGGGAUAACGUAGGGAAACUUACGCUAAUACCGCAUACGACCUACGGGUGAAAUCAGGGGAUCUUCGGACCUUGCGCGAUUGAAUGAGCCGAUGUCGGAUUAGCUAGUUGGCGUGGUAAAGGCACACCAAGGCGACGAUCCGUAGCUGGUCUGAGAGGAUGAUCAGCCACACUGGAACUGAGACACGGUCCAGACUCCUACGGGAGGCAGCAGUGGGGAAUAUUGGACAAUGGGCGCAAGCCUGAUCCAGCCAUACCGCGUGGGUGAAGAAGGCCUUCGGGUUGUAAAGCCCUUUUGUUGGGAAAGAAAAGCAGCAGGUGAAUACCCCGCUGUUCUGACGGUACCCAAAGAAUAAGCCCCGGCUAACUUCGUG
rnacentral:rRNA from 1 species